rnacentral:lncRNA from 1 species
UAAACUACCAAGUAUUCAAACUGUUCUACAGAGAUCACAAGUCCAAUGUGCUGGCUGGCCAUCUUAUUCAAAUGACAAAAGUAUAAAAGAUUAUUUUUACCAAGAACUCAACACAAGGCAAGUAUUCACACAGAAGGCAGAAGAAGUGAAGCAAGGACAUUCUCAAAGUCUCUGAAGAACUUUGGUAUCAACUGUGACCUAUAAAAGACAAUGGCAUAGAAUCAUCCUGCAAAAUGUGCCUGCAUCAAAUAAGAUGACGACAUAGACAUAGACAUAUACACAGAGAGACUGGAAAGAGUGAACUAACAACUGGGAGUAUCUAAAAAGGCUUCUUAAAGAAGGAAGUAUUUGAACUGAACCUUGAAGAGAAUUAUCAGGGUUUCCAACCAAGGGGAAUGCUGAAUCCUGAGAAAAAUCAAGAGAACUGGGUCUAGAGAAAAGAAAUCACUACUAUAACAGAUCUGACAAAAGGACAUAUAUGUUCUGCUUAAGGAACUCCAAUGAGGAAAAAAAAACAUAUUUUAAGAUAGCUAGUUCUACUUCAAGGCAUUUCUACAUGAUAAGAAGAUGAAGGCAGAUCUAAAAGUGGCUUCAAGAUUGAAACACAAAAUUACAAAUCUACAUAUAUUCAUGUGUACAUAUCAUAUACGUAUAUAUACAUAAUACAUAUGGGUGUAUGUAUUAUAUGUAUAUUAUGGUUAUAUUCAUCUCACAAGAAUAAGAUGAAGAAGGUGGG